rnacentral:rRNA from 1 species
GACGAACGCUGGCGGCGUGCUUAACACAUGCAAGUCGAGCGGUAAGGCCCUUUCGGGGGUACACGAGCGGCGAACGGGUGAGUAACACGUGGGUGACCUGCCCUUAGCUCUGGGAUAAGCCUGGGAAACUGGGUCUAAUACCGGAUAUGACCUCAUGACUCAUGUUGUGGGGUGGAAAGCCUUGUGCGGCUAGGGAUGGGCCCGCGGCCUAUCAGCUUGUUGGUGGGGUAAUUGCCUACCAAGGCGACGACGGGUAGCCGGCCUGAGAGGGCGACCGGCCACACUGGGACUGAGACACGGCCCAGACUCCUACGGGAGGCAGCAGUGGGGAAUAUUGGACAAUGGGCGAAAGCCUGAUCCAGCAACGCCGCGUGGAGGAUGAAGGUCUUCGGAUCGUAAACUCCUGUCAGAUGGGACGAACGAACGUCGGCAAAUAGCCGGCGUUCUUGACGGUACCAUCAGAGGAAG